rnacentral:lncRNA from 1 species
AAAAGCUAUUUUGAAAAUCGUCUGCAUUUACAUUUGUGUUUUGGUGAUAGUAAUUCAGGUUCACAUCGGCACCCAUUGAUUUUUCAGAUGCAGCUGGGGUUUUAAGGAUUCGAAGUCGAGUCCUCACUUGCUAAUCUCAGGCUCCUGAAAGUUUUGGGCUCAUCUUGGACUUAAGUCUGAAAAGACUUGCCAAAUUGGAACUAUGUACUUUGUAUCAUUUAGGUUUGUUUUGCUCUGUUGGCUCGGUUCUCUCGUUUGUUUGGGUUGUUGAGGAAGUAAUGUCUCUUUAGGUAAUUGUUUGUUUAAUAAGACGCUCAUGGGUAGCUGAUUUAGUUCGAACCUAGGUAAUUGUUUGUUUAAUAAGACGCUCACGGGUAGCUGAUUUAGUUCGAACUUUUAGCAUAGAAGGUAUUUUGAAUGCCUUUAGGUUUCUCCUUAAUUAACU